CCUACGGGUGGCAGCAGUGGGGAAUAUUGCACAAUGGGGGAAACCCUGAUGCAGCGACGCCGCGUGAGUGAAGAAGCGUUUCGGCGCGUAAAGCUCUGUCAGCGGGGAAGAAACACGGUUCGCGAGAGCCGCGGACGGUACCCGACCAAGAAGCCCCGGCUAACUACGUGCCAGCAGCCGCGGUAAUACGUAGGGGGCAAGCGUUAUCCGGAUUUACUGGGUGUAAAGGGAGCGUAGACGGCAGCACAAGUCUGGAGUGAAAUCCCGGGGCUUAACCCCGGAACUGCUUUGGAAACUGUGCGGCUGGAGUGCAGGAGGGGUAAGCGGAAUUCCUAGUGUAGCGGGGAAAUGCGUAGAUAUUAGGAGGAACACCAGUGGCGAAGGCGGCCUGCUGGACGGUGACUGACGCUGAGGCUCGAAAGCGUGGGGAGCAAACAGGAUUAGAUACCCCUGUAGUC
rnacentral:rRNA from 1 species